GAUGAACGCUAGCGGCAGGCUUAAUACAUGCAAGUCGUGGGGCAGCAGGGGUGUAGCAAUACAUCUGCUGGCGACCGGCAAACGGGUGCGUAACACGUACGCAACCUUCCCGUUACUGUGGCAUAGCCCAGGGAAACUUGGAUUAAUACCACAUAUUAUAUAGAGAGGGCAUCCUUUUUAUAUCAAAGCUUCGGCGGUAACGGAUGGGCGUGCGGUUGAUUAGGUAGUUGGCGGGGUAACGGCCCACCAAGCCUACGAUCAAUAGCUGAUGUGAGAGCAUGAUCAGCCACACGGGCACUGAGACACGGGCCCGACUCCUACGGGAGGCAGCAGUAAGGAAUAUUGGGCAAUGGACGAAAGUCUGACCCAGCCAUGCCGCGUGAAGGAUUAAGGUCCUCUGGAUUGUAAACUUCUUUUCUCUGGGGCGGAAACCAGCUAUUCUUAGCUAUUUGACAGUACCAGAGGAAUAAGCACCGGCUAACUCCGUGCCAGCCGCCGCGGUAAGAC
rnacentral:rRNA from 1 species